CAUACCUGUUGUGUCUUAUACACCUGUUGUGUCUUAUACAACUUAGGUCUCAAUUUUGGCACUACAAACAUGGAGGAUGGAGAUGAAAACAGAGAUCUGAUACACGACUCGCAGAGGGAUGAAAAUGUAUAUUCUCAAACUGGGGAAUCCACUGACUUAUUAAGAGGUAGAGUAUUGAGAGAACAAUUAGUAAGAAGAAUGCAAUAAAUGAAUUUGUAUUAGAUAGUAGAAGUUGCCUGUAAAUAGUUGACGAGAUACUUGUUUUCAUAUUUUGUAAAAUUAAAUCCUUUUAUGAUUGUGUCAUUACAUAAAGUUCUUCUAUGUUUAAAAAUAUAUCUUGUAUGUAUAUAUGUGAUAAAUAAAAAAUCUUUUUAUUUAUG